GCUCCAGUGAGGUAGAAUUCUUUAAAUGCUGAGAAAAGGUUCUUCAAUGCUUACGUGCUGAUCUCUUGUACCGGAUACACUGGGCCAUGAAUGAAUGGCCCAACAGGACAUUUGUGAUGGCACAACGCCUAAUCUUAAAUAUUGAUGAACAGUGACAAAUAUUUCACUCGUUUUGAUUUAUCUAUUUUGAACAUUUAACAUGCGUUAAAACAAAACAAAUAACUGCAUUGAUUAAAAGAAUGUCGUACAAAUUGUCAUUAACAUUAAAAAAUAUUGCAUGGUCAAAAAACUCAUUCAUCAUUUAAAUAACUCAAACAAUAAACUCAUUAUUUGUCAUAUAAAUCUUUAAACUGGUAGUCUUUAUUCCUUCUUUAAUUUAAAUUGCGAUCUUGGUAAUGGUUAGUUUUCCCCUGUGGUUUGCACCUCAUUACUCCUGAUGCUUUUACUCAACCAGGAAGGCACAUCAGGGCUGCUCAUGCAUCCACAGUGGUAAGAAAUAACCAUUCAAAUGUUUAUAAGCCUAUGUUGAGUUUGUAAUGGGCCUGUAUGGUCUUUUGUUUUUGUGAUAACGGGCAAUGGGAUAUUUUAUAUUAUUAUUAUCAUAAGAAAUCCCUGUUUUGUGUUGCCUAUAUAGUGUUUCAGAGACUCUAUACCUGUGCAAGGUGGUUACGCCCAAACUGACCCAUGAGUGGUUCCGCCAUGCGUGCUUCUUAAUGGUGUAUUUGUCUGAAGAUCGUCAUGGACCCAAAGGGAAUUUCUGAAAUGCAUAUUAACCUCCACCGCUUCCCUCCAGCAAAACUGCAGCACUGAACACCAGACAAAUAUAAAUAUAAUCUCUAGGAGACACCGUCCCUCGUUUGCUCGGCCUCAUUGACACCACAGCUGCUGGAGAUAAGCUGACUGUUAAUGUCACCGUGGUGACACACGCCAAGUGUGAUCCCGGAGCCACUUAUACACCCUAAUAGCAUUAUCAUGUAUUGUCGUAACAAUGAUGUGAUUCACACACGGCCGUGUUCCUUCACACCGUGUGGAAGAACAGCUCAUUAAUAUUUGUUCAAAUUCUUUACCGUUAAAUUAGGAUUUAGCAUCACAGCUGUAAUUUGGUGACUCAUUUGAAUUCCCAGUGGAACCCGUUCACAGCGAGGCCUUGAGAGGUGUGGAGCACAAACAGAUGAUUAUCCGCUGGGGGGGCGUGCGCAACCAGACAAUCAAAUGUAAUUUGUAAUAGAAAAAUAGAUUCAAGCGGAAGUCUGAGUAUGACAGUAUUUAUUUUGACUAAAUAAAAUCUAAAAGCAACCAUUUGCUAUCAUAUCGGGAAGGAAGAGGUUUAAAAACACGCCUCUUUUUCAAGUUGAUUGGCUGCUUCGGCCAUCGGGCCAUUUUAUUUGAAUUUGAAAAAUGUCAAAAUGUCAAAUCCACAACUUAGCUACAAAGUGCACAUAAAUGUACUUCUUACAUUUGUGAUAAACACCUGACCAGUUCUUUAAACGCUGAGUGAAUAUUGUUUAACAUUUUUAACCUUAUCUUCUGUUUUUCUGUUAUUAUGUAUCAUCUGCCAUUUGGGACUAUAGCACUUUAACUAACUGGCACAUUUACAGCAUGUUUUAUAGAUGUGCACUGUCCCCUAUCAAAUACACUAAUUAAAUUAAACUUGCGUGACUGGGAAUAAAACCAACUGUUCUCGUGGCUGCUGACAAAAUCCCUAAACAGCGAGUCAGAAGGAAAGCGAGACGAGACUUUGAUACCAUGUCACACACCGACUUCUGUCCAAACCGCCGAGCAGCACGACAGAGAUUAAAACAGCUGACAGCAGCGUCUGCCGGUGGUUAAUAAAACAGAAUGUCAUGUACCAUGUAAAGAGUGGCAUGUACCAGUGUUAAGAGUGGAAUGUACCAGUGUUAAGAGUGGCAUGUACCACUGUUAAGAGUGUUAAGAGUGGAAUGUGCCAGUGGGCCGAGUGGAAUGUACCAGUGUUACGAGUG
ensembl:lncRNA